rnacentral:rRNA from 1 species
UUAAGCGACUAAGCGUACACGGUGGAUGCCCUGGCAGUCAGAGGCGAUGAAGGGCGUGCUAAUCUGCGAUAAGCGCCGGUAAGGUGAUAUGAACCGUUAUAACCGGCGAUACCCGAAUGGGGAAACCCAGUGUGAUUCGUCACACUAUCAUUAACUGAAUCCAUAGGUUAAUGAGGCGAACCGGGGGAACUGAAACAUCUAAGUACCCCGAGGAAAAGAAAUCAACCGAGAUUCCCCCAGUAGCGGCGAGCGAACGGGGAGGAGCCCAGAGCCUGAAUCAGCAUGUGUGUUAGUGGAAGCGUCUGGAAAGGCGCGCGAUACAGGGUGACAGCCCCGUACACAAAAGCGCAUGUGCUGUGAGCUCGAUGAGUAGGGCGGGACACGUGGUAUCCUGUCUGAAUAUGGGGGGACCAUCCUCCAAGGCUAAAUACUCCUGACUGACCGAUAGUGAACCAGUACCGUGAGGGAAAGGCGAAAAGAACCCCGGCGAGGGGAGUGAAAAAGAACCUGAAACCGUGUACGUACAAGCAGUGGGAGCACAGGUUUACCUGUGUGACUGCGUACCUUUUGUAUAAUGGGUCAGCGACUUAUAUUCUGUAGCAAGGUUAACCGAAUAGGGGAGCCGGAGGGAAACCGAGUCUUAAUUGGGCGUUAAGUUGCAGGGUAUAGACCCGAAACCCGGUGAUCUAGCCAUGGGCAGGUUGAAGGUUGGGUAACACUAACUGGAGGACCGAACCGACUAAUGUUGAAAAAUUAGCGGAUGACCUGUGGCUGGGGGUGAAAGGCCAAUCAAACCGGGAGAUAGCUGGUUCUCCCCGAAAGCUAUUUAGGUAGCGCCUCGUGAAUUCAUCUCCGGGGGUAGAGCACUGUUUCGGCUAGGGGGCCAUCCCGGCUUACCAACCCGAUGCAAACUGCGAAUACCGGAGAAUGUUAUCACGGGAGACACACGGCGGGUGCUAACGUCCGUCGUGAAGAGGGAAACAACCCAGACCGCCAGCUAAGGUCCCAAAGUCAUGGUUAAGUGGGAAACGAUGUGGGAAGGCCCAGACAGCCAGGAUGUUGGCUUAGAAGCAGCCAUCAUUUAAAGAAAGCGUAAUAGCUCACUGGUCGAGUCGGCCUGCGCGGAAGAUGUAACGGGGCUAAACCAUGCACCGAAGCUGCGGCAGCGACGCUUAUGCGUUGUUGGGUAGGGGAGCGUUCUGUAAGCCUGUGAAGGUGGCCUGUGAGGGUUGCUGGAGGUAUCAGAAGUGCGAAUGCUGACAUAAGUAACGAUAAAGCGGGUGAAAAGCCCGCUCGCCGGAAGACCAAGGGUUCCUGUCCAACGUUAAUCGGGGCAGGGUGAGUCGACCCCUAAGGCGAGGCCGAAAGGCGUAGUCGAUGGGAAACGGGUUAAUAUUCCCGUACUUGGUGUUACUGCGAAGGGGGGACGGAGAAGGCUAUGUUGGCCGGGCGACGGUUGUCCCGGUUUAAGCGUGUAGGUGUGUGUUCCAGGUAAAUCCGGUUCACUUUAACACUGAGGCGUGAUGACGAGGCACUACGGUGCUGAAGUAACAAAUGCCCUGCUUCCAGGAAAAGCCUCUAAGCAUCAGGUAACAUCAAAUCGUACCCCAAACCGACACAGGUGGUCAGGUAGAGAAUACCAAGGCGCUUGAGAGAACUCGGGUGAAGGAACUAGGCAAAAUGGUGCCGUAACUUCGGGAGAAGGCACGCUGACACGUAGGUGAAGUGAUUUACUCACGGAGCUGAAGUCAGUCGAAGAUACCAGCUGGCUGCAACUGUUUAUUAAAAACACAGCACUGUGCAAACACGAAAGUGGACGUAUACGGUGUGACGCCUGCCCGGUGCCGGAAGGUUAAUUGAUGGGGUCAGCGCAAGCGAAGCUCCUGAUCGAAGCCCCGGUAAACGGCGGCCGUAACUAUAACGGUCCUAAGGUAGCGAAAUUCCUUGUCGGGUAAGUUCCGACCUGCACGAAUGGCGUAAUGAUGGCCAGGCUGUCUCCACCCGAGACUCAGUGAAAUUGAACUCGCUGUGAAGAUGCAGUGUACCCGCGGCAAGACGGAAAGACCCCGUGAACCUUUACUAUAGCUUGACACUGAACAUUGAGCCUUGAUGUGUAGGAUAGGUGGGAGGCUUUGAAGUGUGGACGCCAGUCUGCAUGGAGCCGACCUUGAAAUACCACCCUUUAAUGUUUGAUGUUCUAACGUGGACCCGUUACCCGGGUUGCGGACAGUGUCUGGUGGGUAGUUUGACUGGGGCGGUCUCCUCCUAAAGAGUAACGGAGGAGCACGAAGGUUGGCUAAUCCUGGUCGGACAUCAGGAGGUUAGUGCAAUGGCAUAAGCCAGCUUGACUGCGAGCGUGACGGCGCGAGCAGGUGCGAAAGCAGGUCAUAGUGAUCCGGUGGUUCUGAAUGGAAGGGCCAUCGCUCAACGGAUAAAAGGUACUCCGGGGAUAACAGGCUGAUACCGCCCAAGAGUUCAUAUCGACGGCGGUGUUUGGCACCUCGAUGUCGGCUCAUCACAUCCUGGGGCUGAAGUAGGUCCCAAGGGUAUGGCUGUUCGCCAUUUAAAGUGGUACGCGAGCUGGGUUUAGAACGUCGUGAGACAGUUCGGUCCCUAUCUGCCGUGGGCGCUGGAGAACUGAGGGGGGCUGCUCCUAGUACGAGAGGACCGGAGUGGACGCAUCACUGGUGUUCGGGUUGUCAUGCCAAUGGCACUGCCCGGUAGCUAAAUGCGGAAGAGAUAAGUGCUGAAAGCAUCUAAGCACGAAACUUGCCCCGAGAUGAGUUCUCCCUGAGACUUAAAGUCUCCUGAAGGAACGUUGAAGACGACGACGUUGAUAGGCCGGGUGUGUAAGCGCAGCGAUGCGUUGAGCUAACCGGUACUAAUGAACCGUGAGGCUUAACCCU